AACGGCAGCACGGGGGCAACCCUGGUGGCGAGUGGCGAACGGGUGAGUAACACAUCGGAACGCGUCCUGUAAUGGGGGAUAACCUGGCGAAAGCCAGGCUAAUACCGCAUACGUCCUGAGGGAGAAAGCGGGGGAUUGGCAACGACCUCGCGUUAUAGGAGUGGCCGAUGUCGGAUUAGCUAGUUGGUGGGGUAAAGGCCUACCAAGGCGACGAUCCGUAGCUGGUCUGAGAGGACGACCAGCCACACUGGGACUGAGACACGGCCCAGACUCCUACGGGAGGCAGCAGUGGGGAAUUUUGGACAAUGGGGGCAACCCUGAUCCAGCCAUUCCGCGUGAGUGAAGAAGGCCUUCGGGUUGUAAAGCUCUUUCGGCCGGGAAGAAAUCGCAUCUCCUAAUACGGGGUGUGGAUGACGGUACCGGAAGAAGAAGCACCGGCUAACUACGUGCCAGCAGCCGCGGUAAAACGUAGGAGGCGAGCGUUAUCCGGAUUUACUGGGUGUAAAGCGCAUGCAGGCGGUUCGCUAAGUUGGAUGUGAAAGCUCCUGGCUUAACUGGGAGAGGUCGUUCAAGACUGACGAACUAGAGGAUGGUAAGGGAAAGCGGAAUUCCGGGUGUAGUGGUGAAAUGCGUAGAUAUCCGGAGGAACACCAGUGGCGAAGGCGGCUUUCUGGGCCAUGACUGACGCUCAGAUGCGAAAGCUAGGGUAGCAAACGGGAUUAGAGACCCCGGUAGUCCUAGCCGUAAACGAUGUGAACUUGGCGGUGGAUGGGUAAAACCGAUCACUGCCGCAGC
rnacentral:rRNA from 1 species